CGAACACUAACCACACAAGAAUAUACGAAAUAAUCAGUCAGUGCAAACAAGAGCUCUCACCGGAGCAUCUCCAACACAGACCACCACCCUGGCGGGGGUCCUGAGCGCACCUACCACAAGCACCACACCACAAAAGAAUGGCAAGGGGGAAGAACCUCCAGACCACCCCCGACAGAAAUCACAACCCCAGAUACAAAGAGCAAAUAACCACUCACGACAAAGCCAACAGAGGCUACCCACCACACACCACACACAGAACAGGGAACACCUACCGAGACCUUGACCAACACACUACCUACCCUAGGUGACAGCCCAAGUAGAAUCAAACAAAAAGCCCAUGGGAAGGUCCACAGUCGACCUCAGGCCAGAAUUGCCAAAUCACCAGG